rnacentral:rRNA from 1 species
CUCAUAGUGGGGGAUAACAGUCGGAAACGACUGCUAAUACCGCAUAGGACAUAGGAUCACAUGAUCCAGUGAGGAAAAGGUGCGCAAGCUAUCGCUAAGAGAUGGACCCGCGGUGCAUUAGCUAGUUGGUAGGGUAAAGGCCUACCAAGGCGAUGAUGCAUAGCCGACCUGAGAGGGUGAUCGGCCACAUUGGGACUGAGACACGGCCCAAACUCCUACGGGAGGCAGCAGUAGGGAAUCUUCCGCAAUGGACGCAAGUCUGACGGAGCAACGCCGCGUGAGUGAAGAAGGUCUUCGGAUCGUAAAGCUCUGUUGUUAGAGAAGAACAGCGCAUAGAGUAACUGUUAUGCGUGUGACGUAUCUAACCAUAAA